AGAGUUUGAUCCUGGCUCAGAACGAACGCUGGCGGCAGGCUUAACACAUGCAAGUCGAGCGCCCCGCAAGGGGAGCGGCAGACGGGUGAGUAACGCGUGGGAAUCUACCCAUCUCUACGGAACAACUCCGGGAAACUGGAGCUAAUACCGUAUACGUCCUUCGGGAGAAAGAUUUAUCGGAGAUGGAUGAGCCCGCGUUGGAUUAGCUAGUUGGUGGGGUAAUGGCCUACCAAGGCGACGAUCCAUAGCUGGUCUGAGAGGAUGAUCAGCCACACUGGGACUGAGACACGGCCCAGACUCCUACGGGAGGCAGCAGUGGGGAAUAUUGGACAAUGGGCGAAAGCCUGAUCCAGCCAUGCCGCGUGAGUGAUGAAGGCCCUAGGGUUGUAAAGCUCUUUCAACGGUGAAGAUAAUGACGGUAACCGUAGAAGAAGCCCCGGCUAACUUC
rnacentral:rRNA from 1 species